rnacentral:rRNA from 1 species
CCCUUAGAUGUUCUGGGCUGCACGCGCGCUACACUGAUGCACUCAACGAGUUUACGACCUUGCCCGAUAGGGUUGGGUAAUCUUUUUAAAAUGCAUCGUGAUGGGGAUAGAUUAUUGCAAUUAUUAAUCUUCAACGAGGAAUUCCUAGUAAGCGCGAGUCAUCAGCUCGUGCUGAUUACGUCCCUGCCCUUUGUACACACCGCCCGUCGCUCCUACCGAUUGAGUGCUCAGGUGGAUAAUUCGGACUGCAGCAAUGUUUGGAUCCCGAACGUUGCAGCGGAAAGUUUAGUGAACCUUAUCACUUAGAGGAAGGAGAAGUCGUAACA